rnacentral:rRNA from 1 species
GAUGAACGCUGGCGGUAUGCCUAACACAUGCAAGUCGAACGGGCUUUUCGGAGCCAGUGGCGGACGGGUGAGUAACGCGUGAGAAUCUGCCUUCAGGAUGGGGAUAACAGGGAGAAAUCGCUGCUAAAACCCAAUGUGCCGAAAGGUGAAAUACUUGUAGCCAGAAGAGGAGCUCGCGUCCGAUUAGUUAGUUGGUGGGGUAAGAGCCUACCAAGGCAGCGAUCGGUAGCUGGUCUGAGAGGAUGAGCAGCCACACUGGGACUGAGACACGGCCCAGACUCCUACGGGAGGCAGCAGUGGGGAAUUUUCCGCAAUGGGCGAAAGCCUGACGGAGCAAUACCGCGUGAGGGAGGAAGGCUUUUGGGUUGUAAACCUCUUUUGUUAAGGAAGAAGAAAGUGACGGUACUUAAAGAAUAAGCAUCGGCUAACUCCGUGCCAGCAGCCGCAGUAA